UACGAAGGGGGCUAGCGUUGUUCGGAAUUACUGGGCGUAAAGGGCGCGUAGGCGGUACUUCAAGUCAGGCGUGAAAGCCCCGGGCUCAACCUGGGAACCGCGCUUGAGACUGGAGAACUAGAGUUCGGGAGAGGAUGGUGGAAUUCCCAGUGUAGAGGUGAAAUUCGUAGAUAUUGGGAAGAACACCGAUGGCGAAGGCAGCCAUCUGGACCGACACUGACGCUGAGGCGCGAAGCGUGGGGAGCAAACAGG
rnacentral:rRNA from 1 species